rnacentral:rRNA from 1 species
GCUUCCUACGGGACGCAGCAGUGGGGAAUAUUGGACAAUGGGGGAAACCCUUAUCCAGCGACGCCGCGUGAGGGAAGAAGGUUUUCGGAUUGUAAACCUCUGUCAGUGGGGACGAUAAUGACGGUACCCACGGAGGAAGCCACGGCUAACUACGUGCCAGCAGCCGCGGUAAUACGUAGGUGGCAAGCGUUGUCCGGAAUUCCUGGGUGUAAAGGGAGCGUAGGCGGGAUGUCAAGUCAGAAGUGAAAAUUAUGGUCUCAACUCAUAACCUGCUUUUGAAACUGAUAUUCUUGC